CUCGUCCGAUCACCGUUGUUAAGCAACGUCGAGCCUGGUCAGUACUUGGAUGGGUGACCGUUUGGUAAUACCAGGUGCUGUAAG